UGAGUAACGCGUGAGAAUCUGCCUACAGGUUGGGGACAACACUUGGAAACGACUGCUAAUACCCAAUGUGCCGAGAGGUGAAAGCUUUAGUGCCUGUAGAUGAGCUCGCGUCUGAUUAGCUAGUUGGAGUGGUAACGGCACACCAAGGCGACGAUCAGUAGCUGGUCUGAGAGGAUGAUCAGCCACACUGGGACUGAGACACGGCCCAGACUCCUACGGGAGGCAGCAGUGGGGAAUUUUCCGCAAUGGGCGAAAGCCUGACGGAGCAAGACCGCGUGAGGGAGGAAGGCUUUUGGGUUGUAAACCUCUUUUAUUGGGGAAGAAGAUCUGACGGUACCCAAUGAAUCAGCAUCGGCUAACUCCGUGCCAGCAGCCGCGGUAAUACGGAGGAUGCAAGCGUUAUCCGGAAUUAUUGGGCGUAAAGCGUCCGCAGGUGGUUUUACAAGUCUGCUGUUAAAGCGCAGGGCUUAACUCUGUAACGGCGGUGGAAACUGUAAGACUAGAGGA
rnacentral:rRNA from 1 species